AGCCGCCGCCCCCUCCCCUUCCCCUCGUGCCGCCGUCCCCUCCCCUUCCCCUCGCGCCGCCGCCCCCUUCCCCUCGCGCCGCCGCCCCUCCCCUUUCCCUCGCGCCGCCGCCGUCGGAGAAGCACCGCGGCCACUGCUGCUCCGCGUCGCCGCUCCUCACCCAUCCACCGCGACCGCCUCCUCUCCCGGAACCCUAGCCAGCCGCACGCAACCCAUGGCGUCGUCCAGCUCGCCGCCCUCGGCCAUCGCGUCGUCGCGGGGCUCAUCGCGCAAGCGCACGGCUUCCGCCAAGGCCGCAUCAGAGGCCGACCAGGAGGCCACGGUCUCCAAGUGCUCCCGCAAGAGUGCCGCGUCCGGGAAGAAGAAGUCGGCGCCCAAGGCGGCGGCGGGAAAGAAGCCACAGAAUUGGUGAGAGUCUCCAUGCUUCACCACUGCUAGCAGAAGCAAACCUCCUCUCCGCUCAUUGCUGGUGGUUCAGACUCCGAUGUAGAUCGAUCCAGUGCCACCCUCCUCGGUUAUUUUGCUUGGUGGUACGUGGAUCUGCUCGUGUAUUAGUAAAUCAUGUUGUUGACGCAGCAGGAGCGCUUGGUGCCACGUCCACUUCAUCUGAUUAUGUGAAUAUAGUGGUUGACAUGCUCGGUUCAUCCUCAUCGGCGUCUAAACCUGAGGCUCCUAACUUUCUCAAAUGUUCUCCAGUUAUUCCCCCCUCUCCUUCAGAUGUGAUUAAUUUGGCAUGGGUACGCGUACAAUCGGAAUGAGUAAGGUGGGCUUCGUGUUGCUUUCUCUUAUCUCAUGGCUGCCUCUUGUGUGCAGGUUAAUUAAUUAUUUUGGUGCUCGAUUAGUCGCCAUUGUCGGAUGAUACUUUAGGUUUGCACUUCCCAUUGAGCUCUUGGCCUGGUUGCUGGCAUUGGUUCUUCUGUUGUGCUACUUACUGCAGUUUCGUUGUUGAUUUAGUAGGAAAGCUGAUGUUUAUCUACACAAGGGACUUGCUAUAUUGCGUACUCGGAUGCAACAUUUACUGGGCCAUCAAAAAGGAGGGGGGCUGGAUCCCAAGGGGCCGAGUUGUAGUCCUCCAGAGUUGUUGGGAAGAAGAUGGAACUCCCUACUCUCAUUUGGUGCACCCCAGUAUGUAGUGUCAAUGAUUUCAAUGUCCCCAGGAAUCUCAAACCGUAUGUACAGUCAAUGAUUGCAAUGCCUCUAGGGAUAUCCCAAGAAAUAUUUCUUAGUUCCAAGUUCUGAAUACGCGUCAAUCCAGCAUCUAUUUUUGACCCUGUAGAUGAAUUUAUCCCUGGAUGUUUAUGCCCGGAAGGAGGAGGCAUACCAAUGAUAGUUUGAAUCAAACUAAUAGAGGACGCCACCAUCGAUUAUGGUGUCGAGCGACUAAAAUGUAAUGAACUGGUAGUGCGACUGUUGACCUCCUUGAAACUAAUCACGUUCUUCGCUCCCGAACUCACGCAGUAGACAAGCAACUCUUCUUUUAUAACUGCAGACAAGUAUGACUCCAUACCCUUAAAUUCCCUGCACUAUUCUCAGGGUCGUUGAAUACAUAAUGUGACCCCACAUAAAUGGUUAGGAACUAGCUAAAUUUUAUUUAUCUUCGAUUCCCUACCAAAAUAUUCCUACUGCAUAUGUUAGGAAGGAUCUAUAAGAGUUGCUGCUAUGUAUAUGUUGUUGAAACCUCCAAUGUAGUUAAUCUCCGGCUCUUAUCAUCUUUCUUUGUUCAAGCCCUUGAGAGAAUGCUUUUAAAUUUAUGAACUGAAUAUAAUUCAAGAUUUAGUGAAAAUGCACAGUGAUCUUUACAACUUAUCUAUUUCUUUUUUCUGUGAGACUUCUUCGAAGAUAAUAAUUUGCCCAAAAAUAAUGUUCAGUAGUCAUGUUCCCCUUUUAAUCACUGUACUUUAGUAAUCUUGAUAUCUACAAAAUCUUUGAAACCUGACACCACUCAUGUAAUUGGCCAUUAUUUUUUGUCUUAAAGUCCCAUGUCUUAUCGCUAAUUGCAGCAUUGUUUUUCACCAGUGUGUCAUAGAUUCAGUUCUGCAUGAUGUGCUUGGUAUAGGAGAAAAUCAGUCUGCCAAUAUUAUUUUCCUGCUAUUUGACAUACACAUGUUUACAUAAACUGUACCAGUUGCAUGGAUGUACCAAUUGUUAUCCAGCAAGCUUUGAAAGUUAACACAAAGAAUCUGCACCCUAGGAUAAUUGUAAGGAAUGUGUGACCAAAACCACAUCUACCUUUUCUAAUGUUAUUAUCCUAGGUGCUCCGCAGGACACGCACAGCCGCCACCACACCGCAGAGACGGACGAGGAUGUGAUGCUGCUCCUUCUUGUGGUGUAUGCGUCGGCGUGGCUUGCGGUAGUGAGGCAUAUCCUCGUGGGCAAUGCUAUUUGAAGACCAUUCAAGUGAUUUAAAAGAGAAGAUGUCCAGAAUGUAACGAGGUUGAAGAUGACGAUCAAAAGAUUGACGUAUUAAGCGACUGUCAAGAUGCCAAUAAUGCUUGCCCCCUGCCAUUAUUAAUCGUGAGAUCCCUAUUUACAUGGAUGACUCAGCGGCUGGCCUGUACAGAGUUGCGUGGCAGGCAUGUGUUCCCAGCCACCUUACCAAUUGUAGGCUUAGAAUGAUUUGCUUCGUCCCAAGUGUUGUUCGUCGACAAUUACUUUGUAUGUCCAUGUCGAUUCUGAAUUUAGAGGACACAUAUGUUUUGGUAGGAAGUGUAUUGUUCUUCUAUUUUUUCCUGGUGUAUACUGACUCGUGCAGAUUAUGAAUUCCCUAUUUAAUGGAUC